AGAGUUUGAUCCUGGCUCAGGAUGAACGCUAGCGGGAGGCCUAAUACAUGCAAGUCGAGCGGUAGAGUGACUUCGGUUGCUUGAGAGCGGCGCACGGGUGAGUAACGCGUACAUGACCUACCUUCAAGACCGGAAUAGCCCUGGGAAACUGGGAUUAAUACCGGAUGUGAUAAUAAGUAUAGAGAUUUAUUAUUAAAGUUACGGCGCUUGGAGAUGGGUGUGCGUCUGAUUAGCUAGUUGGUGAGGUAACGGCUCACCAAGGCGACGAUCAGUAGGGGGCGUGAGAGCGUGACCCCCCACACGGGUACUGAGACACGGACCCGACUCCGACGGGAGGCAGCAGUAAGGAAUAUUGGUCAAUGGGCGAAAGCCUGAACCAGCCAUCCCGCGUGCAGGAUGAAGGUCCUAUGGAUUGUAAACUGCUUUUAUCAGGGAAGAAACGCCUUCAUUCAUGGGGGUCUGACGGUACCUGAGGAAUAAGCACCGGCUAACUCCGUGCCAGCAGCCGCGGUAAUACGGAGGGUGCGAGCGUUAUCCGGAAUCACUGGGUUUAAAGGGUGCGUAGGCGGGGAAUUAAGUCAGUGGUGAAAGCCUGUCGCUUAACGAUAGAAUUGCCAUUGAUACUGAUUUUCUUGAAUUGGGUUGAGGUUAGCGGAAUGUGACAUGUAGCGGUGAAAUGCAUAGAUAUGUCAUGGAACACCAAUUGCGAAGGCAGCUAGCUGGGCCUUGAUUGACGCUGAGGCACGAAAGCGUGGGUAGCGAACAGGAUUAGAUACCCUGGUAGUCCACGCCCUAAACGAUGCUAACUCGAUGUGUGGAAGAAAUUUUGCGCAUCCAAGGAAACCGAUAAGUUAGCCACCUGGGGAGUACGACCGCAAGGUUGAACUCAAGGAAUUGACGG
rnacentral:rRNA from 1 species